UCAUAAAAAUUUUAAUAUUCAAACAAUACAAUUAAUGUGUUUACUACGUAAUCGGACAAGAGUCAUGUGUUACAGGUGUCAAAGUACAGCUAUAAUUUUUAUUAUUUGCUUUGUCUGCUGCUCAUUCAUUCAUGAUAAUCGAUUCGAACAAUGCUGAUGAUGAGGCAGGCAGCACAACACAACACACUAAACUAUAAAAAUAAUCCACGCGACAUUGAAUGUGAAACGCACACCGGAAAGUAAACCGUCUUCGGAUUACAUAAUCAUAACUUACGCCACGCCACAUUAUAUCUACUUAUUUACAAACAAACGCUUCUUCUUCUUCUGGUCGUAUCUACAGGAGUCCAUGAGAAUAUUUGCAAGUUUUUUGUCCGAGUGAUGAUAUGGUUAGAGCCGUUAGUGGGUGAAUCGUAAAAUGCAUAAAAUUACAUAAUCAACUGGUGCUGUAUGAAAGAAAUGCCAUUAAAAUUAACACUAUCGGUCAAAGGCAUAUAUCUCCGGAAGGAAGAACGGCUUUAAUUCUGUCUGAUAGUACACUUCUUGAGAGUAAAGUCAAGGAAUGGGGGUACUCGGUUACUUGGCUUGCUUUGUUACCGAUAUUUCACCAUUUUUUCAUGGAAUUGCACAAUGGAUCAUGAAACUCUGUGUACAAUUAAAUGAGGAGCUAUUGCAUAAUCAUCAGAGGUUCUACAUGUUUUUUUCAAAAAUACAAAGUUUGUAAAUAUUUUAACGAUACUAGACGAUUUUUUUUUGCUCGAAGGAAUUUAACCAGAGAAUUAUUUUCAGAAAUUCAAAUUUUGCGAAAAUUUUAGUUUUUAUGUUUUUUCGUACAUAUUUAGCCAUACAUAUUUCAGCGAUUUUUCGUAAAUACGUAUCCACAUUCCGCACUCUGAUAAUCAUCAAUUAUAGAUUUAAGACUAUUCGUAAAACGACAUAUGAAAUUUAAGACUUGAACGCGAACUUUUUCUUACACAAAUUGAUUGCUUAUUUCCCAAAUAGUUUUGAGAAGAUGAUUCAUACGAUAUCGUCAAGGUUGAAGUCACCUCAAGUCCACCCACUAAUCAGGAAAGAGCGAUGAUUCAAGAGGAAGGUUAAGUCAAAUUAAAUCUGAAUUUUGUCUACAGAUAAAAAAGGCCUGCAUAAUGUGGUAGUUAGAAUGAAUGGCUGGUUAGUCAACGUGAUUAAGCUCGACGUAAACAUUAUUAUGCAUCUAAUACUUAAUUUGAAUUAUGAUGCGUGAGUGAGUAGGCAUUUACGAUACAUUAAAUUGUCGUAUCAUUGUCAGGGAACAUCCUUCCGGAAAUUCUUGGGUGGAUUAGUACAACCACAACUAUUAUGCAGCACUAUUAAAUAUUCAACAUACAUAAAAACCACUAACGAGAGAGAUAAACAGAAUAAUGCAAGUUCAUCAAUUUAUGAGGAAGGAUGGAAUCAUGCGGUGCAAACUUUGCAUACAAAAAUGUGUUUAUAAUUUAAUGUUUGUAAAUAAUAAUAAAAUGCGUAGCAUUGUGCGUACUGCUCAAGAUUUGUGAGCAAAAUGUU